CCAGACUCCUACGGGAGGCAGCAGUGGGGAAUCUUCCGCAAUGGGCGCAAGCCUGACGGAGCAACGCCGCGUGAGUGAAGAAGGUCUUCGGAUCGUAAAGCUCUGUUGAUGGGGACGAACGUGCCUAAUGCGAAUAGUAUUAGGCAAUGACGGUACCCAUCGAGGAAGCCACGGCUAACUACGUGCCAGCAGCCGCGGUAAUACGUAGGUGGCGAGCGUUGUCCGGAAUCAUUGGGCGUAAAGGGAGCGCAGGCGGGCAUGUAAGUCUUUCUUAAAAGUGCGGGGCUCAACCCCGUGAUGGGAAAGAAACUAUGUGUCUUGAGUACAGGAGAGGAAAGCGGAAUUCCCAGUGUAGCGGUGAAAUGCGUAGAUAUUGGGAGGAACACCAGUGGCGAAGGCGGCUUUCUGGACGGCAACUGACACUGAGGCUCGAAAGCCAGGGGAGCGAACGGGAUUAGAUACCCCGGUAGUCCUGGCCGUAAACGAUGGAUACUAGGUGUAGGAGGUAUCGACCCCUCCUGUGCCGGAGUUAACGCAAUAAGUAUCCCGCCUGGGGAGUACGGUCGCAAGACUGAAACUCAAAGGAAUUGACGGGGGCCCGCACAAG
rnacentral:rRNA from 1 species